rnacentral:rRNA from 1 species
UGCAAGUCGAGCGCAGUCCUUCGGGACCGAGCGGCGGACGGGUUAGUAACGCGUGGGAACAUACCCUUUUCUACGGAAUAGCCUCGGGAAACUGAGAGUAAUACCGUAUAAGCCCUUCGGGGGAAAGAUUUAUCGGGAAAGGAUUGGCCCGCGUUAGAUUAGAUAGUUGGUGGGGUAAUGGCCUACCAAGUCUACGAUCUAUAGCUGGUUUUAGAGGAUGAUCAGCAACACUGGGACUGAGACACGGCCCAGACUCCUACGGGAGGCAGCAGUGGGGAAUCUUAGACAAUGGGCGCAAGCCUGAUCUAGCCAUGCCGCGUGUGUGAUGAAGGUCUUAGGAUCGUAAAGCACUUUCGCCAGGGAUGAUAAUGACAGUACCUGGUAAAGAAACCCCGGCUAACUCCGUGCCAGCAGCCGCGGUAAUACGGAGGGGGUUAGCGUUGUUCGGAAUUACUGGGCGUAAAGCGUACGUAGGCGGAUCAGAAAGUUAGGGGUGAAAUCCCGAGGCUCAACCUCGGAACUGCCUCUAAAACUCCUGGUCUUGAGUUCGAGAGAGGUGAGUGGAAUUCCAAGUGUAGAGGUGAAAUUCGUAGAUAUUUGGAGGAACACCAGUGGCGAAGGCGGCUCACUGGCUCGAUACUGACGCUGA